rnacentral:rRNA from 1 species
AAAUCAGCUCAGUGGAUCCCUUGGCAUGUGGGUCGAUGAAGAUCCGGUCUAAAUCGGAGAUGGAGUGUGAAGUGAUUUCGCACGAACAUCGACUUAUUGAACGCAAAUGGCGGCCUGAGCUUUGACGAGCUCGGGCCACGCCUGGCAGAGGGUCU